AACGAACGCUGGCGGCAGGCUUAACACAUGCAAGUCGAACGCCCCUUCGGGGGAGUGGCAGACGGGUGAGUAACGCGUGGGAAUCUACCCAGUUCUGCGGAACAACAGUUGGAAACGACUGCUAAUACCGCAUACGCCCUACGGGGGAAAGAUUUAUCGGAAUUGGAUGAGCCCGCGUCUGAUUAGCUAGUUGGUGAGGUAAAGGCUCACCAAGGCGACGAUCCAUAGCUGGUCUGAGAGGAUGAUCAGCCACACUGGGACUGAGACACGGCCCAGACUCCUACGGGAGGCAGCAGUGGGGAAUAUUGGACAAUGGGCGAAAGCCUGAUCCAGCCAUGCCGCGUGAGUGAUGAAGGCCUUAGGGUUGUAAAGCUCUUUCAGUGGGGAAGAUAAUGACGGUACCUACAGAAGAAGCCCCGGCUAACUUCGUGCCAGCCGCCGCCGUAACAC
rnacentral:rRNA from 1 species